GAGUUAAGUGGAGUUCCUGCUGAGUAUAUCUAUUGUACAGAGAGUCAAUCAUUUCCAGUUGAGAUGUCAUGUCUAGAUAUUGAGAAUAACUUGAAAUGGUACUCUAUCAGUUCAGACACAUAUUCAUUAGGACUAUACAACUAUGAUGGAUUUGUCAUAUGUUACAAAGACAAUAGAGAGACAAUGAAAGAUUUAACAGAUAAAGAG